rnacentral:lncRNA from 1 species
CAACAAAGAAGAAAACAAGGGAAAACUUGGGUGCUACAGAAAAUCAGGCUAAAACUUGAUCUUGGCGUCUUCCUCUUUCCUUUACAUAAUCGGGCUCAGAUACUAAUUGUAGUGAAAACUCCGAUACGACCUCCUCCAUACCUGAUUGUAAACACCUCGUGUGGAACCUAGAUGUUACUCCAGCAAUCGACAAAGAAGAGAGAAGAAUGCUAGGUUUUGGCGUUGGAACC